rnacentral:rRNA from 1 species
AGAGCGUAGGGUGAAUGCCUAGGCACCAAGAGCCGAUGAAGGACGUGAUAAGCUGCGAAAAGCUAUGGGGAGGAGCAAAUAUCCAUCGAACCAUAGAUAUCCGAAUGAGGGAACUCAAUUAGCAAAAAUAAGCUAAUUAUCCAUACAUGAGUAAAGUAGUGUAUGUGAAGGGAACGUGGGGAACUGAAACAUCUAAGUACCCAUAGGAAAAGAAAGAAAACUCGAUUCCUAGAGUAGUGGCGAGCGAAAUAGGAGGAGCCUAAACUGAGAGUAGUAAUACUUUCAGGGUUUGGACUACAUAAUCGAUCUAAUAAGUCUAAUAGAAAUGUUUUGGAAAAGCAUACCAUAGAAGGUGAAAGUCCGGUAUAUGAAAGAUGAGUUAGCGAGGUAGUAUCCAGAGUAGCACGAGGCACGUGAAAUCUCGUGUGAAUAAGCGGGGACCAUCCCGUAAGGCUAAAUACUACUUGGUGACCGAUAGUGAAAUAGUACCGUGAGGGAAAGGUGAAAAGGACCCCGGGAGGGGAGUGAAAUAGAACCUGAAACCCUAUGUUUACAAGCAGAUAGAGCACGUUAAAGUGCAAUAUCGUACUUUUUGUAGAACGGUCCAGCGAGUUAUUGUAUAUGGCAAGAUUAAGUACUAUGUAAGGUAUGGAGUCGAAGCGAAAGCGAGUCUGAAUAGGGCGAUUAAGUCAUAUAUAAUAGACCCGAAACCGGGUGACCUAUCCAUGGUCAGGAUGAAGCUAGAGUAAAAUCUAGUGGAGGUCCGAACUGAUUGUCGUUAAAAAGGCACCGGAUGAACUGUGGAUAGCGGAGAAAUUCCAAUCGAACUCGGAGAUAGCUGGUUCUCCUCGAAAUAGCUUUAGGGCUAGCCUCGAGCUGGAGUCUAACGGAGGUAAAGCACUGAACUGACGCGGGGCCCAAAAAGGUUACCAACUCAUAUCAAACUAAGAAUGCCGUCAAGAUACCCUCGGGAGUCAGUCUGCGUGAGAUAAGUCGCGUGGACAAAAGGGAAAGAGCCCAGACCGACAGCUAAGGUCCCAAAGUACGUGUUAAGUGGAAAAGGAUGUGGGAUUUCAUAGACAACUAGGAUGUUGGCUUAGAAGCAGCCAUACAUUUAAAGAGUGCGUAAUAGCUCACUAGUCGAGAAAACCUGCGCCGAAAAUGUAACGGGGCUAAAACACGACACCGAAGCUACGGAUUUCCUACAAGGUAGGAAGUGGUAGAGGAGCAUCCUGCAAGGACGAAGCCAAAGUGAGAGCGAUGGUGGACGAAACAGGAGAGAGAAUGCCGGAAUGAGUAGCGAGAUACAUGUGAGAAACAUGUAGGCCGAAUAUCUAAGGAUUCCUGGGUAAAGCUAAUCUUCCCAGGGUUAGUCGGGGCCUAAGGCGAGGACGAAAGUCGUAGUCGAUGGAUAACAGGUUGAUAUUCCUGUACUACACAUAAUCAGAACUGUGGGGACGCAGAAGGAUAGGGAAACCGGGGAAUGGAAAGACCCGGUCAAGCGUAAAGCUGUGGGAGAUAGGCAAAUCCGUCUCUUGUAAGUGAAACGUGAUGAGGACUGAAAAAAAGUAAGGAAGUUUCCGAAUCCACACUGCCGAGAAAAGCCGCUAUUGCGUUAUGUGUACCCGUACCGUAAACCGACACAGGUAGAUGAGGAGAAAAUCCACAGGCCGACGGGAGAAGUGUUGUUAAGGAACUCGGCAAAAUGACCCCGUAACUUCGGGAUAAGGGGAGCCUCGCAAGAGGCCGCAGAAAAGAGGCACAAGCAACUGUUUAGCAAAAACAUAGGUCUAUGCGAAACCGUAAGGUGAAGUAUAUGGGCUGACGCCUGCCCGGUGCUGGAAGGUUAAGAGGAGAGGUUAGCGCAAGCGAAGCUUUGAAUCCAAGCCCCAGUAAACGGCGGCCGUAACUAUAACGGUCCUAAGGUAGCGAAAUUCCUUGUCAGGUAAGUUCUGACCCGCACGAAAGGCGUAAUGAUUUGGGCGCUGUCUCGACAAUGUACUCGGCGAAAUUGUAGUACUAGUGAAGAUGCUAGUUACCUGCGACAAGACAGAAAGACCCCAUGGAGCUUUACUGCAGCUUGAUACUGGGUUUCGGUAAUUUAUGUACAGGAUAGGUGGGAUGCUAAGAAGUAUGUGCGCCAGCGCAUAUGGAGCAGACGUUGGGAUACCACCCUUAAAUUACUGGAAUUCUAACUAUAAGUCCUAAGCGGGCUUGAGGACAAUGUCAGGCGGGCAGUUUGACUGGGGCGGUCGCCUCCUAAAGAGUAACGGAGGCGCGCAAAGGUUUCCUCAGCGCGGACAGAAAUCGCGCGAAAGAGUGCAAAGGCAGAAGGAAGCUUAACUGAGAGACAGACAUGUCGAUCAGAUACGAAAGUAGGUCUUAGUGAUCCGGUGGUUGUAAGUGGAAAUGCCAUCGCUCAACGGACAAAAGUUACCCUGGGGAUAACAGGCUUAUCUCCCCCAAGAGUUCACAUCGACGGGGAGGUUUGGCACCUCGAUGUCGGCUCAUCACAUCCUGGGGCUGUAGUAGGUCCCAAGGGUUGGGCUGUUCGCCCAUUAAAGUGGUACGCGAGCUGGGUUCAGAACGUCGUGAGACAGUUCGGUCCUUAUCUGUCGCAGGCGCAAGAUAUUUGAAGGGAGCUGUCCUUAGUACGAGAGGACCAGGAUGGACAUACCGAUGGUGUAUCAGUUGUCACACCAGUGGCACGGCUGAGUAGCUAAGUAUGGAAGGGAUAAACGCUGAAAGCAUCUAAGUGUGAAGCCCACCCUAAGAUAAGAUAUCUCAUAUCGU